rnacentral:lncRNA from 1 species
UGUACUUACGAUCUUGUAUCCACUGACUAUCCUGUUAGAUUAACCCAAUAAAUUUCAUUCAUUCCGCAUACUCAAUCCUAUAGACACCCCUUUAAUCCUUCAAUCACAGACGUAACUCGAUUUUACAAAACAGUCAAGAGUAUUCAAACCCACUUCAUUUAAAAAUCCCGAUUCACCAUUACAACACUAACUUCAGCAGCGAUUGCCUCAGUCUUCCCAAAACUCUAUGAAGAAGAAAAAUCCAAAUUCUAUGUCUUUCCUUCCCCGAC